UACGAAGGGGGCUAGCGUUGUUCGGAAUUACUGGGCGUAAAGGGCGCGUAGGCGGUGUGUCAAGUCAGGCGUGAAAGCCCCGGGCUCAACCUGGGAACAGCGCUUGAGACUGGCACGCUCGAGUUCGGGAGAGGAUGGUGGAAUUCCCAGUGUAGAGGUGAAAUUCGUAGAUAUUGGGAAGAACACCGAUGGCGAAGGCAGCCGUCUGGACCGACACUGACGCUGAGGCGCGAAAGCGUGGGGAGCAAACAGG
rnacentral:rRNA from 1 species